rnacentral:lncRNA from 1 species
UGCAGGGAGGAAUGAAAGAUGUGGGCAGCGCUCGGACGCCCAGACGGAGGGAACCGCCCCGGGAGAAGGUUAGGGUCCCGGGGCCAAAGAACAGGAGCCCCGGGAGGCGGGCGGGGUACGGUCGGAAGCGGGCUGACUCCUGCCCCCGCCGCCGGCUGCUUCUGCUGAGGAGGGUUGGGGGGGAGAGCGGGUGGGUCCCCCGCGCAACGGCCCCGCAGGGCUCAAGGCUGCUCCGUCUCCCCCCCUCCCCCCCACCCGGCUUCCGUCCCCGCGGCCGCUUUCUCCUCAGCCGCCGCGGCCGCCUUCUCCUCAGCCGCCGCCUCCUCAGCCGCCGGUUCCGCCGCGGCCGGACUCACCUCCCCUAGCAAAGCCGGAUAGAGCGGAGCCAGCGUCGGACACGCGCAACCAGCCGCCGAGGCCCCGCCCCCGCCUUGCACGGACCGGCUGCCCUAGCCAAUCCACGCCCACCUGUCCGCCACCGCCUCCAAUCCUGGGCCAGGAGCUUCAGACAGGCGCACUGUUCGGCCAGUGGCAACAAGGAGCAGGAAGCUGCGUGGUAAUCCCGCCUGCAAAAGCUGGAAGAGAGGGGCGGAACGAAAGAACCAAUCAUGAGCCAGAGACAAAGAACAGAGUAACCAAUCCUUGGGUUGAAAAUGAAGUGGGAUGGAACCUGGGCCAAAUAGACACUUGAAAAAACAAAUGGAAAAAAAAGGUUGAUGAGCUGAGCAUGAAGAACGAGAAGUCGGAAGUGAGUCAGCAGGAUAGCACUUAGAGCCUAAAAAAGCAAGCAGGACAUCAGAAUGCAUAAGCAGGAAUAUAAUGUGCAGGAAGUGGGAGGUGAUCUUCCCUUUCUUCCAAGAACUGGCUCACCCCAUGAGUUGUCUGCAAAGACUUUGCAGAACUUGGGCCAGGCCCAGGAAUAUUAAAGGACUACAAAAGGAGCAACUCACAUUCAACAGUGCUGGGUGCUCAACACCUGUUAUCUCAUGUGAUCAAUCGUCAAUAUGUCCCAUUUUGCAAAUGAAGAAACAGACUCGGGAA